rnacentral:lncRNA from 1 species
AAUUGUCCACACAUAAUUGCAGUAUCAUUCAUAAUGAUAUCACAAAAAUCAUUCUUUAUUAUAAACUUAAAACCAAAUUUGGCCAAAAGACCUAUAGAGAUGACAUUCAUAAAAAAAGAAGGACAAUAAUGACAAUCAUCUAACAUGAUACUACUGGACUCGAAGACACGUUGUAAAGUUCUCAAGGUCUGAACUGGAAC